rnacentral:rRNA from 1 species
GCCUAUGUCUCUGCCUCUCUCUGUGGGUCUCUCAUGCAUAAAUAAAUAAAAUUUAAAAAAAAAAGGCUAAGCAGGGUGAGCCUUGGUUAGUACUUGGAUGGGAGACGACCUAGUAAUACUAGGUGCUAUAGGCU